rnacentral:misc_RNA from 1 species
AACGCACCUUGCGCUCCUAGGUCUUCCGAGGAGCAUGCCUGUUUGAGUGCCCAGAAUCAAUCUCAACGAACACUUUGUGUAAGUUGGAUUUGGAGGUCUGCCGUUGACUUGUUCACGGCUCCUCCUAAAUAUAUUAGCUGCUUGGUAAUGAGUACCGUUAGCUUGAUAUUAUGUCUAUGCUGCGGUUGAAUUAAUCCAGUGCUUCUAAUCGUCUUCGGACAAUAUUCUGACCUCGGGCCUCAAAUCAGGUAGGAUUACCCGCUGAACUUAA